AGAGUUUGAUCCUGGCUCAGAACGAACGUUAGCGGCGCGCCUAACACAUGCAAGUCGAGCGAGAAAGGGGAAACCCCGGUAAAGCGGCGCACGGGUGAGUAACACGUAGGUAAUCUACCUUCUGGUGGUGGAUAACCUUCCGAAAGGAGGGCUAAUACAGCAUGAGACCACGGUUCCGAAAGGGACAGGGGUCAAAGUCG
rnacentral:rRNA from 1 species